rnacentral:ncRNA from 1 species
AAUGAGUUGUUUGGUCGCUUUUCAUUAUAAGUCAUAUGGGACUUUUUGUGUACACUCAAAAGCUCUAUAAUCUCCACAGUGGAGUUACCCACUAUAGAAAUUAUAGAGCC